rnacentral:rRNA from 1 species
CGCAGCCGCGGUAAUUCCAGCUCCAAUAGCGUAUAUUAAAGUUGUUGCAGUUAAAAAGCUCGUAGUUGAAUUUCGGGGUCAGUAGGUUGGUCGUGCCACCGGUACGUACUGGUCUCACUGAUUCCUCCUUCCUGAUGAGCUGUAAUGCCAUUAAUUUGGUGUUGCAGGGAAUCUGGACUGUUACUUUGAAAAAAUUAGAGUGUUUAAAGCAGGCUAACGCUUGAAUACAUUAGCAUGGAAUAAUGAAAUAGGACGUUCGAUCCUAUUUUGUUGGUUUCUAGGAUUGACGUAAUGAUUAAUAGGGAUAGUUGGGGGCAUUAGUAUUCAAUUGUCAGAGGUGAAAUUCUUGGAUUUAUUGAAGACUAACUACUGCGAAAGCAUUUGCCAAGGAUGUUUUCAUUAAUCAAGAACGAAAGUUAGGGAUCGAAGACGAUCAGAUACCGUCGUAGU